rnacentral:sRNA from 1 species
ACCCUUUCAUAUUCCGUGAUACUAGUUAUUCAAGACAUGCUCAUUGGCAUGAGUACCAGCUACUGCUUAAUGGAUGCAGUAGCUCUUGAGGAACUCUAAUGAUUUCCCUGGAACUUCAUUCUGAAUAUAUGGUAUGUUCCACUGAGGCUGAAUGUGAAAAAUAAUGCAUUAUCAAGCAACACAUUCCUUACCUCGCCAUGAAGCUUCCCAAGUUAGCGGAUCAUUUCUGUUCUCCAUUUUGUUUCCUUUUAAUAAGUCGGAUAUCUGUCUCCAAUGAUAUUACUUGCUUUGAUCAUCUCGUCGAUCUCCUUCAUGUCUUCAGCAGAAAAUGGAGGUAGGGUUUGCAAAUUCUCUGACACCCGCUCUUUCGAUUUGGCCGAUGGUAUCGGGAUAAUUGUGGGCAUGUUUUUGUCAUUGUUGAGGGUCCUGACCCAAUUCAAUGCGGCCUGAGCGGGGGUUAUCUUCUUUCUUUCAGCAAAUGAUAUAACGUCAUCAACAAAUUCCUGGUUGGCGGCCAGAGCGGCCUCUUGAAAUCUCGGUAGGUAAUUACGGAUGUCGCCCUGGGGAAUGUCGGAGGGCUUGGCGAUCCUGCCCGUCAGUGCCCCCCUGCCCAGCGGAGAGUAGGCCACAAUGGGUAUUCCAAGCUCUGCACAGGUCGUCGCCACUCCGUUUUCAAGGAUAUCGGGACUCCACAGCGAUAGUUCAACCUCGACUGCUGCAAUUGGAUGGACCUUGUGCCUGUGAUACUUGAAGUUAGAUGCAUUCCCCGGCCUGCUGGAUGUCGAUACUUACGCCCGUCGUAUGGUUUCUGCGUCCACCUCGCUCAGGCCGAUACCCUUGAGCUUUCCUUCUUUCACCAUCUUUGCGAGAUGGCGGAUGGUUUCUUCUACUGGGUACUUUGGGUCCAAUCGAGAGAUGUGAAACAGGUCAAGCUCUUUUACGCCAUCUAGGACCCUCAAACACUCAUCCACACUUGUUCGGAGAUUUCCUUCAGACCCGUCUGGAGCGAGUUCGCCUCGUGCCAUACCUCCUUGGAUGCUAAGGACAACUUUGUCAGCUGCCUCUGGGUGUUGGGUGAAAAAUUUAUGGAUGAUGUGAAGAGAGUUGUGUUCCGGGGUGCCGUAUAUUUCGCCGCCGUUCCAGAGGUUGGCCCCAAGGGAUAAUGCUGCAUUCAUUGCCUCAGUGUAUUGGGGCUCCGGAGUUGGUUGUGCACACCAUGUGAAUCCUAUUUCCGUCGCCAAUGGUUGAGCGAAUGCCCCAUAGCUCUAAGAGUGGGAUUGGCGACUCACCCAUGAGGCCAUAGCCAGUUGGGCCAACCUCUUUUCCGACAACGGUAGGCAUUUUAUAGAGCGUUGUGGAAAGGAAAUUGAAAAAUUGAAAAAAUUGAAUCGGUUUGUUGGGAUGUUAUCAAGAUAGCUUUUGAGAUCAAAUUUGACGUUCCGAAUGAUGAAUUUAUACUUGAAUCAGCUUCAGCUUUCUUGACUGUUUGGAAUGUUUGGAAUGGGCGUGCACGUGGAUUUUCUUAUCUUGCCAGUUCAUCGAAGAGGCGAAGGAACAAGCACUGGGGGCUGAAAGAAUAGUUAGACAACACCGAUACAUCCAUCGAAAACGCUCCUCAUGAUAAAAAGAAUAUCUCACCGGGUGAUGCUUUACGCUUACAAAGCACAGCUAUCGGGUAGAACAUCAGAACAGGUUUGCAAACGCUUUCAUUCAGCAGCAGAGAGUAUCUCCAAGGUAUUUUACUCUUCGCUACGCUUUGAUUACACCGAACAGACAUCAAUACAAAAGUACCCUUUGAGCUGAUUUUAUUAGGCCACUAGGGCAAAAGAGCUCAAUCACCACCAGCACCGUGGUGGUAUAGAGGGUACGAAUCACCCAAUCCAAUCCCUCCAACAGAUUUCACCUGAUUGAAUUAGUAAUGUGCAAGCGUAUUCCACCAUUCCCUAAACUUUAUGAUAGUUCAAUUGGAAAUAUCCGAGGCGGGAUUAUUCUCCAAUUGCAAAAACUCUCCGAUACACGGACCUCAUGCAGCUGGCACAAACAAGGCUAGAAAUAUCUGAGGCGGGAGUUUGAACCGGAACAAGCUUGGCUCAACUGUCCAUACAGGGUUGAAGCCGGCCAAGGUGGGAAUAUAAGUCCUAGGAGAAGAACUUUUCGAAUGUCCGGAAAAAGAUGUCGGAUGCAACGUGGUUGUAUUGUUGUCCGACGGUCCGAAGAGAGAACUGAGGGGUCUGGCAUCAAGACUAGGGUUCCCUGCAACAGAGUCGAUAACGGGCACCUGGGUCUGCUUCCCAGCGAGCACACAAAGCAAUGUGAGAUUAUGCUGGUAUAACGCCUCAUCUGUACUCCGUAGUCAACACUGAUCUCUGAAAUAGGAGUAAAGAUACAGAAGAACAAAGCCUGUGGAGUGCUUUUUACUCCUCCUGUUUUUCUUUUUUUCUUUUUUUCUUUUUUUUUCUUCCCAGAAAGAAGGAAAGAAAAAACUGAUCGAUUCCUUGCCCAAAAGGAUAUCCGCCCCGCAAGGAUUAGACGAUAACUUGUUAAUUCCGAAAUAUUCGUCUACCAAAAUCAAUGGAUGUCCUUCACCUUCAGGGUCAAUCAGCAACUAUGUACGGGGCUCCCUAGAUAAGUUAUAUCAAUGUUUGUACUGUACAAUGCAAGUUCUUGAGCAAU